GACGAACGCUGGCGGCGUGCUUAACACAUGCAAGUCGAACGGAAAGGCCCUGCUUUUGUGGGGUGCUCGAGUGGCGAACGGGUGAGUAACACGUGAGUAACCUGCCCUUGACUUUGGGAUAACUUCAGGAAACUGGGGCUAAUACCGGAUAGGAGCUCCUGCUGCAUGUUGGGGGUUGGAAAGUUUCGGCGGUGGGGGAUGGACUCGCGGCUUAUCAGCUUGUUGGUGGGGUAGUGGCUUACCAAGGCUUUGACGGGUAGCCGGCCUGAGAGGUUGACCGGGGACAUGGGGACUAAGAUACGGACCAGAAUCCUACGGGAGGCAGCAGGGGGGAAUAUGGCGCAAUGGGCGGAAGCCUGAUACGGCAACGCCGCGUGCGGGAUAACGGCCUUCGGGUUGUAAACCGCUUUCGCCUGUGACGAAGCGUGAGUGACGGUAAUGAGUAAAGAAGCACCGGCUAACUACGUG
rnacentral:rRNA from 1 species